UAUAGUAAUCGACAUCAAACCAUGUAUGAGUUGCAGCAGCCUGAUUCCAGAUUAUAGUCAGUGAUUUUCAUAGUGCUAUGGGUGUCCCAGAUUGAUACUGAAGGGAGCACGUCAUAUUCCCAGUCAAUAAUAAGUUUUAGAAGAUUUACAAUUCAAGCUAGAAGCGUAAAAGGUUAAAUGGUUAUUGCUAUUCUUCAUUGAUUGAGGAUUAAUGAGGGGAUGAGCACUACACAACCUCUGGCCCCUGUGUAUGAUAAGAUUUUCAGAGCAAAAAGGUUCCUUUGUGGAAGUGGUCUUGGUCAGCUGGUUGAAAUAAUAAAGGCAAU